UGGCUCAGUGGGUAAAGCGUCUGCCUCCAAUGCAGGAGACCCGGGUUCGAUCCCUGG
rnacentral:tRNA from 1 species